GUUGCACCCGUUUCUGUCUACACUACAGCACGUGAUUCAAUGAAGCAACGUUGGCAAACCAGAGGUGUAUUCCUUACGCUGAAUCUGUUGCAAAACGUUUCUUAGACGGAAGCAAACGGAACAAAACGGAAAGGGAUCUACCUGAAUUUGUUUAAUAUAAAUUCUAAUUUUGCAUCUGUUUGCACUAAUGAUUACUCCCCAGAGUUGCGGUCAGGACGCUCGUUCUCCUUUGCUGAACGGAAGAUUUCUUCCCGAUACUCCGCUAUAGUCUUCUCUACGGCCCCGAAUAUCUCCACAGCAGCCGCCGACAAACGCUCGGUAACGAACACAUUCAGCAACUGUAGUUUGGACAUAUUGGAGAGGGCAAUGAAAGUCUAGCUGUUUGUUUUAUCAAAGAAAUGUUGAAACGUCUGUCUGCUUCAGCCUAGCGGGUUUACACUACCUAGUAGAUACCUUUGUAAACAACAAUGUCACGUGCUGUGUUUUCUAUUCAUCAACCGCGAACGGUGUAAGACUGCAUUACAUUAGCGCCACCUGCUGGCUUGGAGCACGUCAAACCACGUCCGGAGGCCUUCAAUGAACUGGGAGAAGUUUGAGCUGAAUUUGCCCUCCAGGCAAGCAACUAGAGCAUGUCAUCUAUACGGAGAACAGGCGCAUGUGCUCUGUUGUAGACAGCCGUGAGGACUUCCUGUAGCCAGCAGUGUCCUGGAGGGUAGGUCCCUGAGUCAGAGCUAGAUUCAGUUUACAGAUCUGAUAGACUAAUGCUUUUCCCUCUCCACAAAUUACACAAUUUGUUCUGUUAUCAAUUGCCAGAAAACAUUAUAUAAAACGUAUUCACAA